rnacentral:rRNA from 1 species
UACAGAGGUCUCGAGCGUUAGGCGGAAUCACUGGGCUUAAAGCGUGUGUAGGCGGAUCGUUAAGUGCCUUGUGAAAUCCCACGGCUCAACCGUGGAACUGCUUGGCAUACUGGCGGUCUUGAGCAACCUAGGGGCGAGCGGAACAAAUGGUGGAGCGGUGAAAUGCGUAGAUAUCAUUGGAACGCCAAUGGUGAAAACAGCUCGCUGGGGUUGCUGACGCUGAGACGACGAAAGC